rnacentral:rRNA from 1 species
GAUGAACGCUGGCGGCGUGCCUAAUACAUGCAAGUCGAGCGAACAGAUGAGGAGCUUGCUCCUCUGACGUUAGCGGCGGACGGGUGAGUAACACGUGGAUAACCUACCUAUAAGACUGGGAUAACUUCGGGAAACCGGAGCUAAUACCGGAUAAUAUAUUGAACCGCAUGGUUCAAUAGUGAAAGACGGUUUUGCUGUCACUUAUAGAUGGAUCCGCGCCGCAUUAGCUAGUUGGUAAGGUAACGGCUUACCAAGGCGACGAUGCGUAGCCGACCUGAGAGGGUGAUCGGCCACACUGGAACUGAGACACGGUCCAGACUCCUACGGGAGGCAGCAGUAGGGAAUCUUACGCAAUGGGCGAAAGCCUGACGGAGCAACGCCGCGUGAGUGAUGAAGGUCUUCGGAUCGUAAAACUCUGUUGUUAGGAAAGAACAAAUGUGUAAGUAACUAUGCACGUCUUGACGGUACCUAAUCAGAAAGCCACGGCUAACUACGUG